GUUUAAAAACCACACUAUAUAAAUAAAAAAGUCAACCGGUUAAAAUACGAUUUACAUGGAGAUAGAAAUAGAGAGAGGGGAUGAGGGCGGGGACACGGAGAAAGAAACAGAGAAAGAGGCACAGUUCCUAAGGCAUCAAGAGAAAGAGAGUUCAUUGUGCGUUACAAUCAAAAGGGAAAGAUAGUAGAGUUCGUCGGAACCAUUCACCGAACAGCAAAAACAAUCCCCUUCACUCCAUAUUCGGAAGGUACGCAUUGAAUUUUUCUGGAACUUCUUACCGGCGAAGAGAGAAAUAUCUAAGGCUGGCCACCACCAUCAGUUUCCCCAUCACCGUCCGAUCCUUGCCAGAUUUAGACCACCAGAUCGCCAGAACCAACAUCGUCAAUGGGGAGAAGAAUUUAGAAAUUUCUCUGCAAGCAUUGCAAAUGAUUGAUAUUCAAGACUCACCAAAUUUGGGGAACUGCAGUUUUUUUGGUAUCUCCUUUCCUGUCAAUAAAAAAUGGCCCAAGAGAAGAUUACCCAUUUUCCAAUAAUACAGAAACAAAGUGGUAAGUUUAUCUCCUACUCUUCCUCUUCUCUUAUAGAUUACUCUUUUUCUCUAUUUUUGAAACCCAUAUUCCAAAGGGUCUGCUAUUUCUUUCCCAGUAUAAACCCGUAUAAUUCACAAAUUUUUCAGAAGAUGGAUGAUCAUGAAAGUGAGUAAAUAAUAGAAAUUCAAGAAUCAACAGUAUUAAAAUGGUUCGCAAAAUAUAAGAUACUUCCAGCUAGAACUAAUCAAUGCAACAACCAUAGGAAUUUAAAAGGUGUUCUUUAUUGGUCGUGUCAUCGCAUGCUUAGUAUUUUAAAAUUUUUAAUCCACUGGUAGCUUCUGAUUUGGCAUAGGAUUCUUCUGCAUUGUCAAGGAUACUUGGACACAACCUGUAUUUGGGGUCUAUUCUUCUUAUAGUGACCUAAGCCAGUCUUCAAUCAGCCAAAACUUUGAAACAAACACAUUCUUAGUUGGUGGCUUCAUAUUUUGUGGAUCUUAAAGAUUUGGUCGAGUGGUGGGUUAACUUUUAUCUCUCCUAAAGAGCUAUUUCCUGGCAGCAAAAGAAGAGGUCCAGGUCCUUCCUAACAACAUGCUCUUUGGUGGUACUUAAGUGUAAGGUUUGUCAAAGUGGUCGAGAAUUUUUUUAAAGUUAUUUCCAUAAUCUCACUUUAAUAGCAACAACUGGAUAAAUCUUAUUUCUUGCUGCCUGAGUGGUUAACAAUUGCACAUGGCCCAAAUGGGUGUUAAUUUGAAUGCUAUGUGAUUAGAGUUCAUUAAAAUUUAUAGUUAUGACAACUGGAAAAGUUAAGGAAGUAUUCAAUUUGACUCAGGAGUAUACUAGAGUGAGAUGACAAGACAAAAGGGUGCUGAACAACCUUGAGAAAACAUGUAAGAAUCUACAACCUAUUAAUAUUUUUUGUAAGAUCUACUUUCGACGGGUUUAAAAAUCUGCACCUAUUACAAAGAAUACAAUUUUUGUCUGGUGUAAAAUCAAUAUUUUUCAUUAACGCUAUGUUAGAUACCUACUUGAUUCUUUUUUUGUUCUUGAUUUAGUUUUGGUUGAUUGGAUGAGGUUUGAUCCUUCAGUAAUUUCAGAUUUUGUUUGUUCAUUUCUCCAAUGCAUUUUACUCAAUGAUUAUUUCUGUGUGAAAGAAACCUCUUUUGUAAAUAGAUCAACUGUUUCUCUGAUGUCAUAUGGCAAUUUGCUAUUUUUUUGGAACCUGUUUUGUGGUGGUUGAGUUUUGGAGUUGGUUAGCUAAAUCUUAUUUGCUAAUACAAUGUCAGUUGUGCCUUUUCUCUGCAUGUAAUUUGGUCUUUGCAUUAUGUGGGAGGCAUGUCUUUAUAUAAAAGAAGCUAGAUUACUUAUGAAACCAAUGCUUUCUCAACGUCCUAAUUUUUCACAAAGUCUGUCAGUGUCACAUGAAAAUUAUAAGCACUGCAACAUUGCUAUUUUUUUCCCCUAAUGACCAAAAGUGAAGUGCAAAUUCAGUGUGCAAAAAAAGGGAAAAAUCAUAACCAGCCUGGGAUUCUGCUUUCAGAGAUUUAAAGUCAGUUUGGUGUGAUCCUCAAUAGUCAAGUACUCUUUGUAAGCCUUUUGUUAUUUUGCUAUUGAAUUGUUAACAUUCUAAUGUAGGUUUAGACAAAUGGCUAUCUACUUAAGUUGGUCUCAAAGCUUAAGCAAACAAUGAUUUUAUCUGCAUUUGCAUCCCUUAAUGAUAAUUUGAAGAACAACAUGAAUUUCCUAAACAAGUGUAGAAAGAUCACAUGCUAGAUAGAACUAGACAGAAGGUAUACCAGUUGCGAGGAACUUUAGUCAUUUUAUAUUCUUCAAUAGAUGGGGAAAUUCAAACAUUGCAACUGUGUACUAGAGAUUGAGAAAGAGUGGCAACAGGAGAACUUACAAAUUGUGAUUUAAGGUUUUAAACUUACCUUAUCUGAUUUAAUAUAAUUCCACCUGUUUUUUAAAAGAAUUGAAUCAAUAAAACUUUCAGAAAUUGUUGUUUCCUUUGAGACACGAGUUUAAUAAUAUGAACAAUUUUGAAGAAACCUUUACUCUUUUGCUAUGGAAUUGUUGUUUUAAAUUUUAAUACAUUAUCCUUUCUUAUUUAUCCAUUUUUAUGAAUUUAGUUUCUUGCUCUUUUCAUGUUUGGUGCAUCUUAAUUUGUUAUAAUAUUUUUCUGUCUUGGAGAGUUAGUCAUGUUAUUCAAGUGUGUUCCACUACAGUCACUACGUACUUCCUCAUGUUUGUAAGAUUUCAACUUUGUCCUUAUUAUAUGUAUUUUAAAAUUUUAUGAAUUGACAUUUAAUGUGAUUUUUCUCUUUAGUUAAAUAUGGAUGAUAGAAAAAGUUUAAGCAAACGUGAAGAUGGGAGACAUACUUAGGUUUAUGGUGGCCGAUUGUUUCAACAAUUGCAUGUUGGUGCACAUACAAGUAUAAAAGAAAAUUGACUUAUGCGGGUGAGGUGUAACCAAUGUAUAUUACAAAGGUGAUUGCAGGUAUUUUAAAUUAAUUAUUGUUACUUUUUUUUUCCUUUAUGAUUUAUAUGUAUAAAUAUAACCAAGCUAAUAUAUUACAUUCACUUUUUAUGUGUAUAACUAUAACAAAGCCAUCUUAGAAUAUUUAUCAUAUCAUGUAAUUUGUUUUUCUUAUUUAUUGGAUUUUCCUUGGUCAAGAUUGAACUUGCAUUAUGUAAGCUUUUCUAGGUUUAGGAAUAUUUUUUAUAUUGGCUGAUGAUAUUUUUGAUAUGUUUAGCCGAUGAAGAAAUUACGAGAUUAAACGCAAUGUUCAAAGGCAUGAUUGUUGACAACUUUGGGCUUACAAGAUUUAGAGAUGAAGCAUGAAGUCAUUAAUUAUUAUUUUUGGAUAAGUGCAUUUCUUUAUUUCUAUUACUUAUAUGUAUUGUUGUACUAUGCAUUUUGUAUUAUUUAAACUAACAACAAAACACACUUACUGAUUUCUUUAUAAACUGUAUACUAUAAUGCAUUCGUUGAAUAUUAUAAAUGUUAUUUUGAACUUUGAAUAUGAUGCAAGAAAUCUACUUGAGAAAAAUAGUUUGUUUCCA